AUUUAGGAGCUCAUUUUUAUUCCAUCUCCUUUCCUGAAAAGUCUGUCUUGCAGAAUUGACUAAAAAUUUAUAUUCACAUUAAUUCCUAAUUCUUUUGCAGUUCUUUUUGUCAGUUCUUCUCGACCUUUUUUCUCUACCAGCUUUCCUGGACUAUUGUAUAUCACUCAUAAAUGAUUAAAUAAAAAAUAAUGGUAGUUAUUAAGAUUGAUAUGGUUUGGAAUUGGUAAAAUGUGCUUGGAAAAAAAUCACAAUAAGACAAUGUUUUAAUGUUUAA